UACACACCGCCCGUCACGCCAUGGAAGCUGGGGGGACCUGAAGCCGGUGGGCUAACCGCAAGGAGGCAGCCGUCAAAGGUCAAUUCAGUGACUGGGGCG
rnacentral:rRNA from 1 species